AAGCCGAGCUCGUCUGGAUUCCCCACCAUGGCCUGGGCCCCUCUGCUCUUCAUGCUGCUCACUUACUGUUCAGGGUCGAGCUCCCAGUACGUCUUGACUCAGCCGUCUGCAGAGUCAGUGUCUCUGGACCAAACAGCUAAACUCUCCUGUGCCAUGAGCAGUGGGUACAGCAUUGGCAGUUACCCUAUAAUCUGGUACCAGCAGAAACCUAGCCAAGCCCCUCGCUUUGUGCUUCAUGAAACCAGCAACAGAGGUGAUGGGAUCCCAGAUCGGUUCACUGGCUCUAAAGACUCCUCCAGGAACACGGCUUUUUUAACCAUCACUGGGGUCCAGGCAGAGGAUGAGGCUGAUUAUUAUUGUGCUGGAGCUUUUGGCAGUGGUAGCAUCUGGCUGUAA